rnacentral:rRNA from 1 species
GUCCACGCCGUAAACGAUGAUAACUCGUUGCAGGCGAUACACAGUCUGUGACUUAGCGAAAGCGUUAAGUUAUCCACCUGGGGAGUACGUUCGCAAGAAUGAAACUCAAAGGAAUUGACGGGGGCCCGCACAAGCGGAGGAACAUGUGGUUUAAUUCGAUGAUACGCGAGGAACCUUACCCGGGCUUGAAAGUUAGCGACGGAUCCUGAAAGGGGUCUUCUCUUCGGAGCGCGAAACUAGGUGCUGCAUGGUUGUCGU